UACAGAGGUCCCGAGCGUUGUUCGGAUUCACUGGGCGUAAAGGGUGCGUAGGUGGCAUGGUAAGUUUGAUGUGAAAGCUCAGGGCUUAACCCUGAAAUGGCAUUGAAUACUAUCGUGCUGGAGGUUUGGAGGGGGGACUGGAAUUCUUGGUGUAGCAGUGAAAUGCGUAGAUAUCAAGAGGAACACCAGUGGCGAAGGCGACCACCUGGACUGAUACUGACACUGAGGUGCGAAAGCGUGGGGAGCAAACAGG
rnacentral:rRNA from 1 species